GACGAACGCUGGCGGCGUGCCCAAUACAUGCAAGUCGAACGCAGUGGGGACGGGUGAGUAACAAGUGGGUAACCUCCCAGCAGAGGGGAUAACCCUUGGAAACAGGUGCUAAACCGAUACGGAGGGCUGGACCAGCGGUGCAGUAGCUAGUUGGUGAGGUAACGGCUCACCAAGGCAACGAUGCAUAGCCGACCUGCGAGUGUGAUCGGCCACACUGGGACUGAGACACGGCCCAGACUCCUACGGGAGGCAGCAGGAGGGAAUCUGCGGCAAUGGACGAAAGUCUGACAGAGCAACGCCGCGUGAGUGAAGAAGGUUUUCGGAUCGUAAAACUCUGUUGUUAGAGAAGCGGUAUCUAACCAGAAAGCCACGGCUAACUACGUGCCAGCAGCCGCGGUAAUUC
rnacentral:rRNA from 1 species